rnacentral:lncRNA from 1 species
ACGGGCCACCCGCCAGCCCCGCGCUCUACCAGGCAGAGCGCGUGUGGCCGCCGAGCACAUGGACCCACUGGUCAAGCGGGCUCGGCAAGGCCAGGAUGAAGAGAAGCUACGAACUUAGCAUUCCCAGAGCCCCCCGAGUGGAUAUCCGCGUGGAAAGGAUGUUGGCAGCCCCGGUGACCUCGGAGUCACGGCUGGAUCCACCCUCUUGUCUGAUUUUCUUAACUCUACUACGGUAAGAAGAUGCCCUCCAUCAGCAGGCCGUGUCUGCUGGGACCUCUCUGGAGACUUCCUGAACCCUGUGGAUUUACAGUAAGAUGCAGUUUCCUGGGGAGUAAUUCUGGUGGAUACAAAUUCCGGAGUAUUACACCUGGCUUGCCUGGAGAUGUUACAAGUAGCUGGAUGGAUUCUUCAGCCUGGAUGCCCACUGAAAACAAGGACCGAAACUAAGAGGAUUGUAUCUCUACCCUUGACUCAAUGAGAAUGUUUGUUGUCAUCUCUCGGGCUACCUGGAGCUCCCUCUAAAAUUAUACCCUUUAAGCGUUCCAGAAGGAUUUUGAGAUCCUUUCCUAAAUCAAAGGUGGAAUAUUUGGGGAUUUGGAAAAUUGAGAUGUGAAGCGUUGACUUAAGAGAUGCCAAGUAACUCAGCAGAUGUCACACAGACGAUAAAUAGCAAAGAUGGAAGUCUUCAUGCCGGAGGCAAUCCUAUAAGACAGCUGAGUUCUGCAGAGCUGGUAGGAGACAGACUUGCUCAGGUGAUAGAUCCAGCCAUGAUACUGACCCUAAGAGAAUGAGACGCUCUGCAGAAGACAGAAGAUUCCUGAAACUGGGAAAGGUGCCUAGAAAUCCUGAUAAGAGUGAAGAAGGAGCUGGCAGAGCAGCCUUCCUCCGCACUAUGAAAGACAUCCAACAGAGAGCAAGUUCCCACCUCACUUCCAGCUUGACUCCUUUUUAUCUCCUAACUGUGGUCUGUGAUGUCUUCAGCAAUGGUAUUAACUAGUUCUGGGUACCUGGAGGCACAGCAGCCAUGUUGAACCUAUGAGGUGAUGAAAAACCAUGCAACUAGAAACCAGAAUGGAAGAAAAGAAGAAGCUGGAUCCUUGACUGAAUUGUCGAUGGGGGAUAGUCCAUCAUCCCAGGGCUAAGACCACCUCCAGAUUUCUUGUUUGGUGAAACAAGUCCUGAUUGUUUACAUUCCCUCGUGUUGAGCUGUCUCUUGCUUGUAGCUGAAAGCAUUUCUAAUAGAUAUUCAGAUUAUCAGCCUUAGCUCCAAGCUAGAAUACUCUAUGGGACCUUAGCUUCUCCAUGAAUUCCUUUGCUCAUCUGUGUAAUGCUCAAUAAAUGUAAAUUGAACCCUGAAUGAGGGACAAUGACACUA